CUCCUCUAGAUAACGGCAAGUGUGAAAGGCCUCAAAACCAAAAUUUGGGGAACGUAAAUGUUGCCUUUGAACAGAGUUUUUGUUCCGUCUCUCUUAGUUCUCUGAAGUUCAGUAUCAUUAAGUGGUUCUGAAGAGGUGGUUUUGGCCAUUUUUUGACCAAACCACCUCAUCCAUCCCUUUUUCUUCAACUUUUCCUUUGUUUAAUUGUUUUUUGUAGUUAAAAGUAUGUAAGUUUUUGUGCUCUUAAUAUGAGCUUUUAUUGGAGCUCUUACGGUGGAACAUAUCUCUCUCUAGUAUGAGAAUCUUUUUAUGGAAUCAAGAUCUCACCUUUGAUGUCUUGUUUGUAAGCUGAUUUUGAUUGAAGAAGGUUUUGGCUCUUGGAUUUCUAUCCCAUUCUCUACUUUGAUUAGGUAUUUCUGCAUUGGUUAUUAGCUCCAUCAUCAAAUCGAAAUGCAUCAAAGUGUCCACAAUCAAUUGUUCUCUGCUACUUCCUGAAAGUUCAGUUGUUGGAGCUUUCUCCCAUGGUGGCACCUGAAGGUGUAGCAGCAGCUGCUCUAUUAGAAGUAGAGAUUAGGGUUUCUUUGUCGUAGGGAUGACUUGUUUUUCUUUUGUUCGUGGGCUUGGCCUUUUUGGGCCUUUGAAUACUUCUUGGGCUUUGCACUUUAAUGUAAAAAUUCUAAUGGUUAAAAAAAAUCAAAAUUCGCCAAAAAUACUUAUACCAAUAACUUAACUAAAAUACCCCAUAUGACUAUAAUAUAGGGCUUGAUUGAUUGCGGAUUGUUCAUUGCUAAUAUAGCUGAGAAAUUAAAUUAUUUAAUAAAAUUUUAUUAGUUGUUGUUGUCAGUACAUUAAAUGAUAAUUAAUGGGAUAAUUUAUUUUUAUUUUACUAAUAUUAUUUUUAAUAAUCUAAAUUAAUAAAAGUAGUUUUUCAUAACUAAAAAUAUUAUAAUUAAUUUAAUUUAACUUAAUUGUAUUUAUUAUUGAAAAUAUUUAUGAAAGUUAAUUUAUAAAUAAAGGUUAAAAUUUAAAUACUACUAAUAAAAAAAUUUUAAAUGUUAUAAUCAUAAAUAUUAUAAUUAUUUAACUUUUAAUUUUAAAAUAAUUAUUAUUUA
rnacentral:lncRNA from 1 species